rnacentral:rRNA from 1 species
AAAAGAUUAAGUUAUUAAGGGCGCACGGUGGAUGCCUUGGCACUAGAAGCCGACGAAGGACGUUACUAACGACGAUAUGCUUUGGGGAGCUGUAAGUAAGCUGUGAUCCAGAGAUUUCCGAAUGGGGGAACCCAGCACGAGUUAUGUCGUGUUAUCCGCAUGUGAAUACAUAGCAUGUGAG